GGCAUGGCCAUGAGAGCCUUGAUUAAAAUCCGAGCUACAAUCUGUAUACUCAUUCUUUCAGGCUCGAACUGAUAGAGACGAAGAAGGCAAAGAUUUGCAUCCAAACUGUAUGUUUGAGAUGAAACCUGCUCAUUGACGUAAUUCUCGAGAUCGCUGAGUAGGUCGGGAUUGUAGGGGUUCACGGCGACGAGAUGCUCCACCGUGUAGGAUACCGUCGACGGCGGCUGAGCAUCUUGUUCCUUCCCCAUUGCGAGCGGCGGAGAUAGCGCGAGCAGCGGAACCCUAGAAACCCUAGCGGCGGAGACAAA
rnacentral:misc_RNA from 1 species